UUUACAUAUACAUAUGUAAAUUAUAAAUUGGUCAUAACCAAAUGUAACAUAACUAGGAAUAAUUAACCUAGUUAGUAAAUUGAAUUGGAAAAAAAAACAAUAAGGAAAAACAUGAAAUAGAUAACCAUUUUACAAAAUAUGGAACUAUAGGGACUAAAAGAGGCAAAAGGGAAAAAUGUUUUUAAUUAAAACAAAUAAACACCAAAACACACACACAUGUGUGUGUUUGGUCGACGUUUACACAGAGCCAGGAGAAGGGUUCUUUUCAAAACCCUAAACUCACUAAAAUCCAUCAAAAUCUAAGGGAAAUCGAGUUGGAAAUUAGGGCUUUAACUAAAUUCAUGAUCAACCAUGCUAGGAGAUCACAAGUUGACUCUAAACAAGCUAGGUGGGAGCUUGGAAAGGAACGGGUCAAACGGAUCAUGGAUGCGAAGAAUGUUUGCGCGAACGCGAGGUAAGUAAAGCUUACGCCCAAUUGUAGUAAACGUAUGUAUAUUAUAGAUGAUAAAUGUGACAACCGAUUACAUUCGAAAUUGAAGUUCCGACACUAAGCGAUGUGAGUCGGAACGAAUAAAAAUGAUCAAAACCAUGGUUAAUGGUAAAAUGGACAAAAGGGUAAUUUAGUCGUGAAUCGACUAAGAAUUUAUAAGAUUUCUUUAAGGUUACCUUAUAGCGAAACUUGAAAUGGGUCGGAUGUGUGAAGGGGAUAUUAAAAGUCAUGUUUUGACAUAAGUAUAAAUGUUUGGUCAUAAAUACCAAAUGGGUCAAAUGGUGGUGAUGACACCAUUUGACAAUAUCGACUAAUGUUUGGUUGUUAAGUUAAAUGUUCACAGGAGUGAACGGGAAGUGGAUUAUUGCGUUGCUAUAAAGUAGCGGCUAAUAAAAGAAAGGUACAAAACGGGUCUAUAUGUUGACUCAAGCCAGGUGAAUGCCAAGAGUGUCCGGAUGAAGAUCAAGCUCGAUGAGGAACCGAACACAAUAAAAUCUAACACUCGGGAUUAAAGCUUCCGCACGGCGUUACGCCAUAUCUUUUAAACGACGAACUUAUUUAUAUUACGUUGAAAACUUUUAAGUUGUAAAAGUUUUUUUUUAGAUUACUUGUAUUUUCUAAGAAUACUUAAUCGCAAUUUCAUGUUUAUUUUCGAUAUUUAUACGAAAACCUUUAAAAUUAUAACAUGGGUGUUACAAGUUGGUAUCAGAGCCUUGGUUUAAGAGAUUCAAGUAUGGUGGGGAAAACCAUUCUUGGACUUAAACCUUACGCUCUUGAUAAAGAAUAGUGUUCGGUUCGAGGCUUGAUCGCAAAUCCGGUAAGUGCAUGUAUGCUGAUGGUCUAGUGUUUUAAAGUAUUGUAAAUAACACAUAGGGUUGCCGUGUAAUACACAUUACCCCAACUAAAUGAUUGAUAUAGUUGACAAAAAUACGCGCGUUGACGCUUAUAGUAGAAAAAGCCUUGUAUUAUAAUACAGGGGAUUAUUGAAGUUGACAUUACUAACUUUUGUGAAUGUCUUGAUUUAAGGACACUUGCAUUUAAAGAUGACAAAGGACAAACAAAUUAAGGAUGUGAUAGAGGAAUAGUCCGAGGCAUGACAAGAGGAACAUGCUCACUAAGGACUAAAUCGCAUAAAGACCGCGAACAAGGUUAAUGGCAAGAGACGCCCGUCAGGGCAAGCAUUAUCAGGUGCGUGCUUUUAAAUAUAAUCGCGCAAUUAGCAAUAUGCAACAAACAUGUAAAGAAUGAUUGUCGCAUAUGUAAAUUACAAACUUGGGAAACCUGAAUAGAAUACAUAUCCAGGAUAUUAUUUCCAAGAAAACUAAAUAGAGGUGUUACUUACAUGGGGUGUGAUGUGAAAACUAUAAUAAGGUCGUGUAUGUCAUGUGUUAAUCGCUUACUCUGGCCAAGUAAGCAGUGGCAUAUGAUACCAUGAGUUUCUUAUAGCAGACACAUUUACAUCUGAUGUAGUAAGGACGGGAUAAAUGGGACAAAUUAAGAAGGUACCCAAAAGAAUCAAAUGAGCAAAAUAUUUGAUAAUAAUGUAAACGCACAGCCGAGAGACGGAAGCGUACUACAUUAGGAAAACGAGCCCAAGUGAAGGGACAAAGAAACAUGUAAAAUGAUGUAGACAUGAAUUGGGAGGGGGUGUACUUACACUCGAACCCGGAAAACGAAAGCAUGUAAAAUGAUUUAGACAUGAAUUGGGAGGGGGUGUACUUACACUCGAACCCGGAAAAUGAAAGCAUGUAAAAUGAUUUAGACAUGAAUUGGGAGGGAGUGUACUUACACUCGAACCCGGAAAAUGAAAGCAUGUAAAAUGAUUUAGACAUGAAUUGGGAGGGAGUGUACUUACACUCGAACCCGGAGAACGCAAGCAUGUAAAAUGAUUUAGACAAGUGUUUGGGAGGGAGUGUACUUACACUCGAACCCGGAAAAUGCGGAUGUCUCUAAACGAGUCGUUUUUGUAAAACGCCAAACUUGAGAACAAAGUAGGAAUAUAAAAGCGAAACGAAGUCAUAAUGCGUACCGUAAGGGUUGCAAUAAUAACGACUUCGGUAAAACACCCGGUUGGUGGGUAAGGAUUUAAACACAUGCGUAGACCGAGAAACGGGAACUCGGAUGGAAAGUUAAAAGACUUGGAUUUUGAGUCAUUACUAAAAGAUGACAAGAUAAAGUAAAUAGAAGUUUUGAUAAAUCAUGUUCAACUAUUUUAAAGUUGAACGGGUCGAACAAAUAUUGAAGUUUGACAUUCAUAAGUGACGAAUUUUCACACGAACAAGUUAAACGGGUUAGAUAAAACGAAACAUUGGAAAAGAUAAAGAACCCGGUAAUGGGACGAGAUUGAAUGCAAAUAUGAGCGCAAACCGAAGAAAGGAAAGCGCGAGAUAUUAAUGAACCCAUGUAAUGGGUCGGAAUUAAAUAUGAGAUGAUUGUGGACACGAAUCACAGUCGGCAUGAGCGAAAUUUUGAUGCAAAAAAAAAAAAAAAAAAAAACAAAAAAGAAAAAAAAAACAAACAAACAAAUAAUUUUCAAAUAUAAAAAGGAGAAUCUACGGGAUCAUUAUAACCUUCGGGUUAGAAACAAUGUAAUGGUCUACGGGACUAAACUGACCCAUGGGUCACGAAUAGAAAGGGAAGGAAUCAUAAAGGCAACGCCCUAAAGAGGUGAAAGCCUAAAUAAAUAGCCUACGAGGCCAAGUAAAAGAAUCUACGGGUUACGUAGACGAGCGGGGGAACCAGUAGAGAAUUCCCACAUAAAACUAGACUGUAAAAGAAUAAAUUACAGAUUGUCAAUGUCCUGGUAUGGAUAAUUGACAAAAGAUAAAGAAAAGAUCCUAAACUAAAACUUUGGUUUUAGUAAGAAAUAACGUUUUUACAAAUAUAUAUGCUGAUAGGAAAUUGAAUAUUAAGCAUGAAAGGUUCAAGUUUUGACACUGAUAGGCGCAAGACGUUAUGUUUGAAAAGUGAUAUUUUCGAAAAUGAAAUUUUGAUAUAAAUUAAAUAUGAUAUGACGCGAUCACGGUCAAGAACUGCAAUGUGAAGUAGAAUCACAUUAUAACCAAGCAAGCUGUAAAAAGUAACUGGACUAAUAAGUCUAGUUAGCGAGACCGGUUAAGGUCAGCAAUUAAAAUCAAGAAAUUUGGUUUGCUUGUAAGCGGUGGAUUCGGUAUAACUAAAUCGAAUGAAUAAAUUUGAAAACAAAAGAAAUUGUUGCUAAAAGUGAAAAUUCUCACUAAAGACCUUUAAACGGGUCAAAGUAAUGGAUUCAUAAAGAAUUCCAUAGUAUAUGAAAGCGAUGGAUAUCGCUAAGUUAACUAAACUAGUGGAAAUAACAAAAUUACGUUAUUUCAAGUUGCAUUAUGUCGUAUGAGAUGUGUAGACAAUUAGUAACCAAAAAGAUGUUACCAUACUUUUCUGGUACUAAUAACGAUUGGUUAAAAAUAUAAGUAAUGUUUAAAAGAAUUCUAGGAUCGAAUACAUUGAGUUUAAACUCGAUGAAUUAUGUAAGAAAAGGUUUCGAGGACGAAACCUCUUUAAGGGGGGUAGACUUGUAACACCCCAAAAUAUAAAAUUUACAUAUACAUAUGUAAAUUAUAAAUUGGUCAUAACCAAAUGUAACAUAACUAGGAAUAAUUAACCUAGUUAGUAAAUUGAAUUGGAAAAAAAAAACAAUAAGGAAAAACAUGAAAUAGAUAACCAUUUUACAAAAUAUGGAACUAUAGGGACUAAAAGAGGCAAAAGGGAAAAAUGUUUUUAAUUAAAACAAAUAAACACCAAAACACACACACAUGUGUGUGUUUGGUCGACGUUUACACAGAGCCAGGAGAAGGGUUCUUUUCAAAACCCUAAACUCACUAAAAUCCAUCAAAAUCAAAGGGAAAUCGAGUUGGAAAUUAGGGCUUUAACUAAAUUCAUGAUCAACCAUGCUAGGAGAUCACAAGUUGACUCUAAACAAGCUAGGUGGGAGCUUGGAAAGGAACGGGUCAAACGGAUCAUGGAUGCGAAGAAUGUUUGCGCGAACGCGAGUUAAAUGUUCACAGGAGUGAACGGGAAGUGGAUUAUUGCGUUGCUAUAAAGUAGCGGCUAAUAAAAGAAAGGUACAAAACGGGUCUAUAUGUUGACUCGAGCCAGGUGAAUGCCAAGAGUGCCCGGAUGAAGAUCAAGCUCGAUGAGGAACCGAACACAAUAAAAUCUAACACUCGGGAUUAAAGCUUCCGCACGGCGUUACGCCAUAUCUUUUAAACGACGAACUUAUUUAUAUUACGUUGAAAACUUUUAAGUUGUAAAAGUUUUUUUUAGAUUACUUGUAUUUUCUAAGAAUACUUAAUCGCAAUUUCAUGUUUAUUUUCGAUAUUUAUACGAAAACCUUAAAAAUUAUAACA